AAGACUAUACUUCACGGCAUCAUUUCUGUACUUAGUCUUCAUUUACAUUGUUUGGAAAUCGGCCCGCGAUGACGAGGUACAUAUAUCGUUUUAUCUCACAGCGUGAGGUUUAUGACCUUCCUUUCUAAUUUUGUUUUGUGGCAUAUAAGAAAUGAUGUUUCUUCGAAAAUCGCUCACUUACAUCAGAUAAAACGACUUCUGAGUGGU